rnacentral:misc_RNA from 1 species
AAGACUAUAGACCUGCGGAGUACCUGCGGAGGGAUCAUUAACACAUAAUCCAAUUUUUUUUUUGCCACGAAAUGUUGAUUUUAUCUUUCAUUAGAUGAAAAAGGCACUAGUGGUGAAAAAAAAGCACUGUGAGCUGUUGAAGUCUUUUAACCAUUUUUGAUAAAAUGGUUAUUUUUCAACAACAAUAAAAACACAAACUGAUUAAGAAAUAAUCGAGAGAGUUCAAAUCUUUCUUUUAUU